rnacentral:tRNA from 1 species
GGGCGAUUAGCUCAGCUGGCUAGAGCGCCGUCUUGGUAAGAUGGAGGCCACAGGUUCAAGUCCUGUAUCGCCCA